GGUUGUAGUUUCUGAUUUAUACAUAUGUAUAUACAGUUUCAGUCUACUGUAAAGGGAAGAGAAAGAAAGAAAACAGAGGAGAUUAUGAUAUGGAUGGAUGAUGGAAGGAAAGAUCUAUGAAUUUAAUAUCUGAGUUUCAGUUACUGGACUUUACUUCUUCCAGAAAGUCAGGCCAAAAGAACAAAGUCCUAGAAGGUCUUCUGGUGAGUCACAUUCUGAGCAGGAAAUCUGGCAUUGAGGCAUAA
rnacentral:lncRNA from 1 species